rnacentral:lncRNA from 1 species
UUUGAUUCCGUUCUUGUACAAAGCCUUUGUUAUGUAUAAAAGAGAGAGACGUUUCUCGUCAGUUUUGUUCAGCGAUCAUCACUCUUCUCGUACCGCCGGUUAUUACACGCGACUUCUCGAGGAUUCCUCCGCUGGUUCUAGACCGUCAGAUCUCAGGCGAUUGGGACCAGACCGUCUUGGAAUGUUGGAAACGAAGUCGUCUCCCACUUGCUAGGGCCUAGGGACAACACCAAGUUUCUUUCUGCAUGAAUGAUGAUAUAUUGUAUUUGCGCGUACAUAUUGGUUUGCAUGGCAUUGUGUUAAUUGUAUACUGCCUGUUAUUAUAUUUGUAAGUAAAACUAAAUUUUGUUAAAACCAUCAAAACUAUGGUAAACUAUACGAAUUCCUAAAGUGAAUGUAUACUGAAUGAAUUUAUGUACAAAUUAAUUCCUCUGGAUAUGUGUAUAAUCAAAACAAGGACCAUAACAUAACUAGGAUGUAUAUAGUUUCUCUUCAAAAUAUUUGAUUUUUUUUUUGUCAACCAAUACUUGUACAUCAUUUUUAACAUACAAGAGUUUUUUUUUUUUUGGUAUAAAUGUUAAAUUCCAUACCGAUUUUCUGUUUUUUACAAUGUUGCAGAGCAACUUAUUACAACACAAAGGAAAAAAGAGAAGAGAAGGAUACAACAAACAACAAGAAACAAACAACAAUAUACAGAGUUUCUGUGCCCGCUUUAACAUACAGAGUUGAAGCGGGUACAGAACAUAACAAGCAAGCUAGGUAGAAAAAGAAAGCGAUAAGUUUCUUGAGGCCUAAGCAACUAAUCAAAAACAAAGAAGCUUUCUUUUACUUUCUUUUUAUUAUCAUCUCAGAAACCAUUUGAUUAACUAAUAAUAACCAAAUAAGAUUUAGUGGAUAUUCUAAAUUGGAAUAGAGUAGACGUAUCUGAUCAAAUAUACUAGACUGCAACCACAAGAAUAUCAAAAUAAUAUCCUGGUUGGUAACAGAAAUAAGGAAGUUGGUGCAGAAAAAAAAAAAAAAACCAAAGUUAAAAUAGUAGUAAUUUAUUUGCUGUCAUGGAAGAGGUAGUUAUGCAAAGGUCGUGGACUCACGAGGUUGGUUAGAAUUAAUUUGCCUCUGAAACAUUUAUAUUUUUACACGUUUUUGUAAACAUGGAAUCUCUAUGAAGAUAGUCAGUUAACCAAUUGGGUAGAAAGCAUUUACCGCGCUUCAUGUGGGACGACAUCUUCUUAUUAUAUCCCUUCGCAACUAUCUCCACUCGAUUAAAAAUAAAAUUAUAUUUUCCAGCUGUAAAAAAAAAUAUUCAAACUUAAAAAUAUUCAAACUUAAACCCUAAACUCUGCCCUAGGGUUAAACCCUAAACCAUGUCUAGGGUUAAACCCUAUUUACCCUGUCCUGGGGUUAAACCCUAAACCCUGCCCUAGGGCUAAACCCUGCCCUAAGGCUAAACCCUAAACCCUGCCUAGGCCUAGGGUUAAACCCUAAACCCUGUCCUAGGGUUAAACCCUAAACCCUGUCCUAGGGUUAAACCCUAAACCCUGGCCUAGGGUUAAACCCUAAACCCUGGCCUAGGGUUAAACCCUAAACCCUGUCCUAGGGUUAAACCCUAAACCCUGUCCUAGGGUUAAACCCUAAACCCUGUCCUAGGGUUAGGGUUAAACCCUAAACCCUAGCCUAGGGUUAGGGUUAAACCCUAAACCCUGUCCUAGGGUUAAACCCUAAACCCUGCCAAGGGUUAAACCCUAAACCCUGUCCUAGGGUUAAACCCUAAACCCUGGCCUAGGGUUAAACCCUAAACCCUGGCCUAGGGGUUAGGCUUAAAACCUAAACCCUAAACCCUGCCUAGGGUUUAGGGUUUACCUUAGGGUUAAACCCUAAACCCUUCCUUAAACCCUAAACCCUGCCUAGGGUUAGGGUUAAACCCUUCCUUAGGGUUAAACCCUAAACCCUGCCCUAGCCUGCCCUAGGGUUAAACCCUAAACCCUGCCAUAGGGUUAAAUCCUAUACCCUGCCGAGGGUUAUGGUUAAACUCUAAACCCUGUCCUAGGUUUAAACCCUAAACCCUGCGUAGGGUUAAACCCUAAACCCUCUCAUAGGGUUAAACCCUAAACCCUGCCUAAGGUUAAACCCUAAACCCUGCCCUAGGCUUUUAAGCCUACCUAAGAUUAAACUCUAAAAACCCUACCUAAGAUUAAACCUUUAAACUCUACCUACUUAAAACAAAUAAUUAUAAAAUUAAAACAAUGAUUCUCUUUUUGUAGAUGAAGAAGCAAUGAUCAAGUUCAGCUAAUAUUUGUUUGGAUUCAACCAAAACAUUCUUAGAAAGAUUUUUUAUUAUAUCUGCCAAAUUUUCUGUAUCAGUAGGUCAAGUAGAUGAUGUUAUAUAUGGUUUACGAUGAGAAAUUUUUUUUUAUCUAUUACCUUAGAAGGUGAAUUUAUUUUGAAAAAUAUAUUAUGCAAAUCAAUAAUAAUCAAUAACAAUCUAUACGAACUAAUACAAAAUAUUUGACUGAAAUUUUAUAAAAUAUCUUUCUUAGCAAAAUUUUAUAAAAUAUCUGCUAAAUCUAUUGUAAAAAUCUGUCAGCUUUACUAAACAGGAAUGUCUCUGCGUAGACACGUGGCAAAAGGCAAAAUGACAAAAUGAAUAGAUUUCGUGCGUCAGAGUUGCGUCACUGUUUCUUCAAUUUAUCGUUCGCUUGAAGUUAAGGGAAACAUAAUUGUUCCUCCAAACAGAGUAAACAAUGAUUGGUAGAUAAAGAAAUUGUGGUAGAUGCACUUUCUUUACAAAAUUCAAAGCUCGAAGAAAAGUUUUCUUUUUUAAUGGUGGUGGUGGCUCUGCUCUUAACUAUGGUUUCCGUAGAGGGUUUAUGAUCUUAAGUGGAAGUUUCCUGAAUAACACCGACAGAUUUUGGAAUCUGACGUUCUGGGUAUUUGAGACUUCCUAGAAGAGAAGAUGGGUUUAAGGUUUUUAUGAUCGGUUUUGUGGGAAUUAUUAUCCAGAUAGAAAGAGACUAGGUUUUGGUUUGUUGAGUUAUAUAGUUUUGUGGUCAAUGAAGAAGAUGAUUGGGAGUCCAGGAACAGUGAGUGGGCUGAUGUUGAGGUUAGGGCAGUGUGCGACUGCUGCUGCUUCCAUCGGUGUUAUGGUCUCUGCUCCUGGCUUCUCUAGCUACACUGCUUUCUGGUAAUUUUUGAUAUUUUUAUCUGAAAAAUCUCUUCUUAUCUGGUUUGUUAAUCUCUUGGUGAUUAUGAUUAGUGUAUUUGUUGUAUAUCUGAGUCGAUCUCUUAAGUUGUAUUUGUGCUUGGUUUGCUCAUUUGAAGAUACAGCCGACAAAACUAGUAUGUGUUUUGUCUGAUAUUUUUUUUUGGCGUAUGGUUUCAGCUUCUUAGUUGCAUCUAUGGGUCUUCAAAUGAUUUGGAGCUUUGGACUUGCGUGUCUUGACGUAUAUGCCAUAAGGCGAAGAAGCGACUUACAAAGCCCCAUCCUAUUAAGCCUCUUCGCAGUUGGUGAUUGGGUACUAACUUCUGGUGGUAUCAUUCUAGUAAACAAACAGAGUUUCAUUAGCAAUAAUGACUGUUAUAAAGUUGUGUUUUGCUUUUGGAAUUCUGUAGGUCACGGCACUUCUCUCCCUUGCGGCUGCGUGUUCAUCUGGAGGAGUUACGGUUUUAUUCACAAAAGACACAUUAUUUUGCAAGCAGGCCUCCCUCUCUUGCAAUUGGUUUCAGAUUUCUGUCGCUUUAGCUUUCUUCAAUUGGGGUUUAGCUGCUAUAUCGUCUCAUGCAAUGUUUUGGAUCUUGAUAUGACAUUGAACACACCCACCUCUUCACUUUUACAAAUAUCCAUUUAUAUGAAUCGUUUUUCUUUUGUCUAACUCAUAACCGGAAACGAGGGCAAGUGUUCAAGGUCAUUUUUGGUGAAUUCCUAGGACAACCGAUCUCAGUAGUGUAUGAUUUGUAUCAUUGGAGUUAUGUACACACUAUCCAACUGUUCAGUUCAAAUAUUGUAACUUAUAUACUUAUUUCAUGUUUUCAAGUCAACAUAAGCUUUUCUUUUAAUCUUAAUUGUGGCGAAAAUAGCUAUAGUAUUUGUACAAAUCUUUCAAUCUCAGGAAACAGUAAUCGAGCUACAAAUAGAGCUUAUAUGAUAAGUACAGAGUUACUUUUAUGGAAAGAAAAAAAUACAGUGAAAAUGGUGACAAGAGAUGUAGCAAGCAAAACUCCGGUUUCUAUUAGUCUUCUUAACAAUCACCAUCCUUAGGAGUUAUUUGGGCUGGAUGCUACAACGUGUGAAAGCAUUUUAGUGCUAAGAGCAACAUUAUAGGUAAGGUCCUUAGUUUUUUUUUUCGAUUAAAAAAAAAAUUGAAAACAAACCAAUCGUAAGUCGCGACGUAUUAGUGGGAUCCGCGAACAGUACAAGGACCAAACCAAAACACCUCUUAUUUAACGACUUUCUCCUUCGGUUUUGAUAUUUUUUUGGGUUCCUUACCCUUAAGGACCAGACCAAAACCUCCGGAUAAUGUUGGUCUAAGAAAUCAAUUCUUGGAAAUUCAACAUGCAUCAAAAGUAAAUUUAUAAAAGCUAGCUUCACUUUACAAUGCAUACAGUAUAUGUAAUUAAUUAGAUUUGUAUAAAGCUGAUUAUAAAAAUAAAAUAAUAAGCUAUUUCUUUUGUGUGCACCAGAAUAAAACAAUAAGCAGAAUAAUUUUUUUUUUCCAAAAAAAACCAGAAUAAAAUAAAUAAGCUUAAUUCUUACAAUGUGUUUGUUCUUAUUCUCAUCACCUAUGACCUCACGAUCCAAAAACAAUUAUUAGUCGUGGCUUUUCAAGUGAAAGAGUCAAUUAUAUCUGCUUUUUCUUUUUUUGCUAAAAAGCCUAAAAUCCAAUUAUAUCUGCUCUGAAGCCAAAGAUGGAUAAACACAUAAUUUCCACUGUACCAAACUCUUUCUCAAACGCUUUCAAAAUUUAUUGAUUAGGCCUUAGAGCAUGUGAGUUUUUCAAUAAAUCGCUUAUCAAUUUAAAAAGAAACAAAAGAGAGGGUGAUAUUUGUGAGAAUUUUUCUAAAUAUUUGAUAAUGUUGAAUGGUUGAUAAUUUUAAGAGUUAACUAGUCACUGAGCUAAAUAGAAUAAAAAUGGCGUAUACCUCAGCUGAGGCAGCUGGGAGUCAGCUCAUCUCAGCUCGACGGACUGUUCGAGUUUUGGGCCGAUGGUCCGGGUCCGGGUCAGUGGCGGGCCAUGAGGUUCAGCCAUGUAGUCCAUGAGUCAUUGAGCUCUUGUGGGCAGCCCGUGGUCUUGGUUACCAGGUCUUGGCUUGGGUUGGACGUGCCUAUAUUUCACAUCUUUUCUUUCGUUCUCGUAAAUAUUUAUUUGUUUGUCUAUUCUCCUCAACGAUACAUAUCCUCUAAGGCUCUAUUACCGUCACGAUUAACUAUGCGUGGCAGCAUACACAUCGCGUCACGUCAUUAUCCCUACCCAUUUGUUUCUUAUAUAUUGUACCAAUCCUCCAUCAAAGCUUAGAAAUCUCACAAGACAAAAAGAAAAAGAUUUUGAUUUUUUACAGUGAAACAAAUGGAAGGUUUGAUUCCGUUCUUGUACAAAGCCUUUGUUAUGUAUAAAAGAGAGAGACGUUUCUCGUCAGUUUUGUUCAGCGAUCAUCACUCUUCUCGUACCGCCGGUUAUUACACGCGACUUCUCGAGGAUUCCUCCGCUGGUUCUAGACCGUCAGAUCUCAGGCGAUUGGGACCAGACCGUCUUGGAAUGUUGGAAACGAAGUCGUCUCCCACUUGCUAGGGCCUAGGGACAACACCAAGUUUCUUUCUGCAUGAAUGAUGAUAUAUUGUAUUUGCGCGUACAUAUUGGUUUGCAUGGCAUUGUGUUAAUUGUAUACUGCCUGUUAUUAUAUUUGUAAGUAAAACUAAAUUUUGUUAAAACCAUCAAAACUAUGGUAAACUAUACGAAUUCCUAAAGUGAAUGUAUACUGAAUGAAUUUAUGUACAAAUUAAUUCCUCUGGAUAUGUGUAUAAUCAAAACAAG